GCCAGAACUAACUCGGUAGAAUAAUUAAAGGCUGACAAGAUCAAUCGUUUAAACACACAUCUCAGUGUAAUAAUCAAAAGAAGACCAUAACUUUCUAUUCAGUGAAGCUCUCUGCUUCAUCUGGAUUUAGGAAUAGAUAAGAGCGUCCGGGAUUGGAGAUGAGGCCGACGUGAUGAUGGUGCAAGGGGUUAACAUUCCUUGACAUGUCAGUGAUUUCGUCCAGCGCCUCGCUCUGCUUCUGCAGUCUUUCCUGGUCUCACCUGCAGCUACGGAGCUGUCCUUUGCCGCUGCGAACAUCUCGCCUGGGUAACCGAGCAAAACUUGGGCAAUCUAGGCUUUCCGUCUUCUUGUCGCCGGUUGUAUCCGUCUCGUCGAUCGUCGCUGCAGGCAUAGAGAUGACGGCGAUGCAGCCUAGAGGUCCGGCGUUCAUGCAUACAAGUGUAGUUCAUGCAUUAUUUAGAUCCAAGUGUCAAGUUUUCAGAGUGUCGAUGACAUGAAGCCUCAAUUCUAUCUGAACCCAUCAAACAAAGCCUUCACGGGCGCCGUCGGUUUGGAGUGUUCCAUGCACCGUUGCUAAUGCUAAGCUAAAGAACCCUUGUGGCUGAGGAGUUUGACACCUCAAAACUAAUCCCAAUCAUGCAGCAAGCGCAGGCCAGAGAGGAUUAACUAACCUGUAGCUCAAUGUAAUGCAUUAUUGCCAUGACGCCACGCCAUUGGCCCCGCCUCCAGCUCCAAGUCGACCAUGAUGGCAUGAUGUCACACACGCCAGCUUCCCUCCACAGUCGCAGCUAACUCCUCCUUAGGCCAACCUUCCAAGGCUGCCAAAUCGCACCCUAAUUAACUUAUCAUUAAGCAUUAGGCCUGUACGCACAUAUCAGCAAACGUACUAGCAUAUAGUACUCAAAUGCUACUAUUAUAAAAACAACAAGGUGCAUCCUACCAAACAUUCAACGAAUAAGGCACAGAGAUUGUCAGAUUCUAUAUGAGCAAUAAUUUUCUGACUAAUUUCCAUCCAUUUCCCUCUCAUUUUGAAUGGAGCGAUGGGCAAAGUCUUUUGCAAAUUCACGAAAAAGAAAGCCUUCAGGUCGCUCUCAUCGGCUUCGUAUUUCACAUACGGCCCUUCGAUUGAUAGACCCCGUCUUUGGCGAUCGGCCUAUAUAUACCGCUCCACCCCUUUCCUCCCCACCUCCCAAAUUCCAGGCUUGCCACACAUUCUUUGCAAAUUUGCAACCAGAUAUAGCCUGCGAGGUUUUGUGUGCCAUGGGCAUGGCUGACAAGAGGCCGGCUGCAAGGAAGGCCGGGCUAAUCACCAAGACGCUGGACCGGUGCUGGACCACGCCGGCGAGAAACAGCAAGCCCGUGGAGGGCUGCUUCUCGGUGUAUGUUGGCGCUGGGAGGCAGCGGUUCGUGGUGCGGACAGAGUGCUUGAACCACCCGUUGUUCCGAGCUCUGUUGGAGGAGGCCGAGGAGGUGUUUGGGUACGCGGACGCAGGGCCCCUCGAGCUUCCCUGCAACGCUGAGGCGUUUGCCGGGGUGCUGCAGCAGAUCAAGGAGGAGAAGCAGAUGGCGGCAGGAAGGAGGUACGGCCUUGUCAGGAGGAACUCCUACCGGCUGCUCGGCACCAGCCGGUCUGUCAUCAUCGGACGGUCGUAACAUACGAAUUGGAUUGGAAUUGGAUGAUGCAGAGUUGAUGAGCUCUAAAGUUUCUGUCGAGCUCAUGUUCUCAGAUAUCAUAUACACUUUUGGAAGCAAACUUAGCAUUCCCAAGUAUGAUAAACAACAUCAUCGUAUACUGGGCAAUGUUAGAUAUUUUUCUUCUUCUUCUUCUUUCUAUUUUUAUAAGGUAAUGUUAGAUGUUGGUGGUGUGUUCCCAUCCUAAGUUGUAGUAACUGUCAGCGGAAGUGUCAUUUGAAUCUGUAAGUCUUGUGAUGUCCACAGAUGGUAUAGUGUCGCAAUUCCAAAGCAGAAUCGCACAAUUCAAUUCACCUCACACCGAGUGUAAGAGGUUUUGAUGGAACUACGCUAAGAUUAAUCAACUAUAGUGUUUCUCCGCAGAUCAUCUGCAUGCAAACAUCCACUGAUUUGCUACCAAAUUUGUUUUAAAUCCAUUUACACACAGGAUUACAGAGCCUCAACACAUAUGACAAAUUUUUAAAUCUCAACGCACCAGCAGAAGCAUGUUUGCGGGUUAGACACAUGGCACACCAAUGGAGGUUUGGCAUCAGUUAAUUAAGUAUUCUAAUAUCUACAAAAACUAACCACAGACAAGGACCAUAAACAGGAAAACUCAGUUAUAUAGGUAUGGCUAAAAUGUAGGCAAAAAAACCAAUAAGCAGUAGUUUAGUAGAUGAUGUAAUCGGGAAGAUAUAUAGCAACCGACUCAGAUGGAUGUACAGCAAUCAGGGCAAGCUUAACGGUUCCAGGUAUUCUUAGACCCUUUCAGAGGACUGAAGAACACCAAAGCAUGGGAUCAAGUAUCAGUAAGGGGGAAAACAGACACUGCAAAUUACCGAGUAUUAGAAUUCACUGAAACAAAUAAAAAUAAACUGCUUGAUCCAGCCUUUUGUUAUUUCUUGAGUUUGCAAUCAAUCAGUUGAACACAGGUAUCGUACAGCAACAAUACUACCAUAACUAAACAUAGGGAUAUUCUCUGAAUAUCCAAAGACAAGGCGAUAAAUCAUAUAUGACGUGUCUUGAUGAACAGUAUUUACAGCCGUGGCCAUGGUCUUUGCUGAAUUUCUGUCUCUUUAUUCUAUAGCAAGAGAAGCUAGAGCCAUCAGCUUUGGCUCCAACUAAUACUGGUACUCCAAGGGUUCCCGAGACGUAAACUCUAACCUCACCUUUAUAAACUAACAUUUUGUGGCCCCACGGACAAAUGGAACCGUUAGGCAGAUGCAGAGAUCUUCAUAUAAUAUUGCCUUAACCAUUGACUAAUUAAUCCAGUGCUAACUUUUGGAGGACCUGAAGCACCAACACGAGUGCAUCGGCACUAGAAAAUGGGUUAAAUGUCCAUCUUAACCUGAUCCCUCUAGAGUCAAAAGUUAGAACCAUAUUGUUUUCACUACCUCCAACUUAUCUGAAAAGAUGGAGUCAAGAGCUUGGUGAAACCCCUGGUAAAUUAAGUUUAGAAGCAAAACCAACAUAUCUUAAACAUAAUGGUUAUGCGAAAGGGGAUCAAACUUUUGUCACGCAGUUUUGGAUAGGAAAAAUCUAGACUAUGGCAGCAAGUCUAUAAGAUGAAACUUAUUAUUGUACAAGUGCUGCUAAAACAACAAGUCACAUCCUUGUAAAGACCAAUGAAUAAGGUGCGAAGCUUGAUUCUAUAUGUGCAAUAAUUGUCUGACUAUUUUCAAUCACUUUCUCACUAUUCUUUAAUGAAAUGAUGAGCAGGUCUUUUCCGUAUUCACCUUUUAAAAUAGCUUUUGGGUCACUCUCAUCAUCUUCAUAUCUCAAAUAUGGCCUUUCCAUCGAGAGACCACGUCUUGGUGGAUCCGUCUAUAUAUAUAAUUCCAACCCUUUCCUUGUCACCUCCCAAUUCCAAGCUUGCUACACUUUUUCUUCAUUUUGCAAAAUUCCAACUAGUUAGCCUGCUAACUUUUGUGCACCAUGGGCAUGUCUGAGAAGAGCUUGGCCAAGAGGAAGGCUGGGCUGAUCACCAAGACACUGGACAGGUGCUGGAGCACACCAAUGAGGAACAAGCCUGCAGAGGGCUGUUUCUCUGUCUACGUCGGUGCCGGGAGGCAGCGGUUCGUGGUGCGGACAGAGUGCGUGAACCACCCGCUGUUCCGGGCGCUGCUCGAGGAGGCCGAGGAGGUGUUUGGGUACGCGUCCGCAGGCCCCCUCGAGCUACCCUGCAACGCCGAGGCGUUCGCCGGGGUGUUGGAGCAGAUCAAGGAGGAGAAGCAGAUGGCUGGGGGGAGGAGGUGUGGCCUCUCCAGGGGGAAAUCCUACCGGCUGCUUGGCACUGGUCAGACUGUCAUCAUCGAUCGGUCGUAGCAUAUGCAUUGGAUUGGAUGAUGCCGAGUUUAUGAGCUCUGAGUUUUGUUGAACUCGCAUUCUGGGACUACCGUGUACACAUUUGGAAGCAACCUUAGCAUUCCCAAGUAUGAUAAACAACAUCAUCAUAUACUGGGCAAAUGAGAUACUUUUAUUUUUUCUUCUGUUUCUGGUUUGCAUUUUUGUGAGAAGGCAAUGUUAGAUGUUGAUGUGUUUUCCCCUCCUAAGUUGUAGUAACUGUCGGUGGAAGUGUUAUACAGAUAUAUAAAGAAUCUAUAAGUUUUUCUUUAUGUCUAUAUAUGGCAUAAUGUUGCAAUUCCAAAGUAGAAUCGCACAGUUCAAUUCAUCUCGCACUGAUUGCAAGUGGUUUGGAUCAAAUUACGCUAAGAUACACCUAUAGUGUUUUCCCGCAGAUCUUCUCUUACGCAAGCAUCCACUAAUUUGCUAUCCAAAUCUGUUUGAAUUCCAUUUACACACUGGAUUACAGAGCCUCAACUCAUCUGUCAAUUUUUUAAAUCUCAAAGCACAGAAAUAUGUAUGCCGACUAGACACACGGCACACGGAAUGGAGGUAUGGCAUCAAUUAAUCAAGUGAUCUAAAUCAACAAAAAUUAACCACAGAAAAGGGCCAUAAACUGGAAAAGUCGUUUGUUGAUAUGGUUAAAAGGUAGGCAAAAAACAAAUGAGCAGUAGUGUAGUAGAUGAUGUAGUCAAGAAGAUAUAUCCAUUGAUUGAUCGAAUAAAUGAUGAUUUGGCAUCUAUAAGGAUCGGUAUAUCUAAUUUCUCGUAAAUGGAAAAGGGCUAAAGUAAUGUUAGUUGGUACAUUUGAUUGGAUUGAUCUCCAGGUACAUAAAUUUAUUCAAGACAAAGCUAUAGAAUUAGUGCAUUAAUGUACAAUACAGGUAGCAUGUGGGUUACCAUUUUCACUGUCAACUGAUGUUUUUUCUCCAGCCAAUACCAUUUGAUGCUUGCUAGGGACAUUUUUGCAGAACUAUAACUCCAGAACCAGUCGAUAACUUCCUUUGAUCCUGCAAUCAGGGCAAGGUUAACGAUUCCAGGUAUUCUUUGACUCACUCAGAGGACUGAAGAACACCAAAGUAUGGGAUCAAGUAUCAGUAAGGAGAAAACAGACACCGCAAAUUACUGGGUAUUAUAUUAUUAACAAUAAACUGCUUGAUCCAGCCCUUUCCUAUUGUUUGGAUUUGCAACCAGUCAGUUGAACCCAGGGACCGUACAGUAACCACACUACUAUGACUAAACAAAGGGAUAUCCUUUGAAUAUCCAGAGAGAAAAAUCGUAUAUGCCGCGUCUCAGUAAACAGCCUUGACCGGUGCCCGGCUUUGUUGAAUCUCUGGCUCUAUAUUCAUUCUACGGCAUGGGGAAGCUAGAGUCAUUAGUUUUGGCUCCAAGUAACCACCGGCACUCCAAGCGUUCUCGAGACGUAAACUCUAACCUCGGUUUUAUAUAAUUGCCACUAGCAUUCCCUGACCUCAUGGACAAAUGGAUCCAUUAUCCAGAUGCAGAGCUCUUCAUAUGAUACUACCUUAUUCAUUGACUAACUGAUCCAGUGCUAACUCUUGGAGUAGUUGAAGCACCAACAAGAGCGCGACAGCAUUAGAGAAUGUGUUAAAUAUCGAUCCUAAUUCAAUCCCUCUGGAGUCAGAAGUCGGGUUGUUUUCACCACCUGCAACUUGUCUGAAAAGCUGGAGCCAAGAGCAAGGUGAAAAUGGAACCCCCAGUAAACGAAGCCUAGAAGCAAAGCCAACAUACUCUUAACAAAUAACGGUAUGCAGAAGUGGAUCAGGCUUUCAUCAAGCAGUUUUGGAGGGCAAAAGUCUUAUGGCAGCAAGAGCAGACACACUUUAAAAUUGGCCAGCAGACCAAAUAUGGAUGUUCCUGCCACAACCUAAAACCAAAUUAUCUGUCACCUCUAAGUAAAAUGUAGAGUACUUGCAAUUUACAGCGUUCCCGCCAAGUUCCCAGAGGAUAAACUCCCCAGCAUCAAGCACCAACUGAAAUACCGCUUUCACCUACACCAAGACGAUCCAGAAUGGGUCGCGAGACCUAGCCGUGGGGAUUAAAAGAAACUCUGCAAAAAACGAAGGAAAAAAAAUCCCCGAGAAUCCAUGCCGAGCGGUCAGAACCGGAAGAUAACUUUUGUUCCUGCUGNNNNNNNNNNNNNNNNNNNNNNUCCUGCUGACGGGGGAGGGGUGCACCGUGCACGGUGGAAGGCGGCGACUCGCCGGUUCGCUCCGCCUCUUCGCCAUGGCCCAAGGUUGGGGACAGCGGAGCGGUGCCUACGGUAAUACUCCGACGCGCGAGGGGCU
rnacentral:lncRNA from 1 species